AAAGUUAAGAUAGACCUUUUAAAUGGAAUUCCUUUGCUAGACAACAGCCUGGCUCCUUGUUAACUUCCUGUCAGUUAAUGUCAUUCACAGAAAUUGCAACAGGAAAUCAACUUAGGGCCAUAUAGAAUGUUUAUGUUUACAACUGUGAAAUGGUCAGUAUGCACAAACCUGC